UACGUAGGGUGCGAGCGUUAAUCGGAAUUACUGGGCGUAAAGCGUGCGCAGGCGGUUUGUUAAGUCCGUUGUGAAAGCCCCGAGCUCAACUUGGGAAUUGCAGUGGAUACUGGCAGGCUGGAGUACGGUAGAGGAAGGUGGAAUUCCCGGUGUAGCAGUGAAAUGCGUAGAUAUCAGGAGGAACACCGGUGGUGUAGACGGCUCUCUGGACCGUAACUGACGCUGAGGCACGAAAGCGUGGGUAGCAAACAGG
rnacentral:rRNA from 1 species